rnacentral:rRNA from 1 species
UACGUAGGGUGCGAGCGUUGUCCGGAUUUAUUGGGCGUAAAGGGCGCGUAGGCGGCGGGGUAAGUCUGGUGUGAAAUCUCGGAGCUCAACUCCGAAAUUGCACUGGAUACUGCUCUGCUAGAGGGCUGGAGAGGAGAUCGGAAUUCACGGUGUAGCAGUGAAAUGCGUAGAUAUCGUGAGGAAGACCAGUGGCGAAGGCGGAUCUCUGGACAGCUCCUGACGCUGAGGCGCGAAGGCUAGGGGAGCAAACGGG